ACAUCCAGAUUUUACUGUUCAAAGAAUUAUCGCCUCAAUCUUAUCAAUGAAAGGUCCUUCUUUGUGUUUCCCAUAUCUGAGAAUGUAGAGAUCACAAAACUCGACAAAACAUGGGUUAGACUUCAUCGUCGCUGAUCAACAGGUGUGCUGAACUUAAUCAGGGGGAUAGGAACCUGAAGUUGAUUUGCUUAGAUCACUUUCUAUGGCAGAUCCAAUUCUUACAAGGACGGAGGAAGCUUUGCGAUGGCCAAUGAGAGCCCUGACCUGAAAAUAAAACAACAAGAGGCAUUCAGUGAAGCCUCAGGUUUGACGACAAAAAAAUUAUGUUCAGUCAAGCCUCAAAAUAUGCCAUACCGAAGACCUAUGUGCCCAAAAUAAUAAAUCAGAAUGGAGUCGGCACGCUCUAGAUAUAUGGCUCUGAGGUAGAGAAGGUGAUCUGCUUCACUGGAAUCUACUUUCGGAUGGUGGUGUCUGAAGAAUUGAUGUUUGAUUACACCUCUACUUAUAUCCUGUAGUUUGCUUCUGCGUCAGUUUUCUGGGCUGAGAAGUUUGAGUUCUGUAAUGGUUUUGCCUGGGUGUAUUGGCUUGCUCCUGCGGGGCACUUAGUUCUACAAUCUGUAAUCGAUCU